UGAUAGUUUGUCUCUUUUAUCAAACAUUCCUGCUGUUAUAAUUUGUACAGCAUUUGUUGUUUCUUAAACUGUUGCACUGUCCAAAUACCCACACUUGCCAUCUUUGCACUUGACCACUUGAUUACUUAUUUGAAGUCUUUCCUGUAUUUGGCCUAGUGUUCAAGUGAGCAUGAUAACCACAAGUGUGUGUCGAACUUUUCAUGACCUGAUGACUGUGUUUCCCAAUCCUGAUCCUGGAGAACCCCAGCACUGCACGGUUUUGGUGUCUCUCUUAUCUGCCUUGGAGUCUUCACUGAUGAGCUGAUGAGUUGAAUCAGGUCUAAAAUAUCAAGCUCAACAACUCACUCAAGAGCCAACCCUCACAAACCUUCCUAAAAACUAAAAGAGCUAUUACUGAGUCUCAGCGAAUCUUGCCAUGAUCAGCUCUUCCCAGAAGAGAAGGAAGACCAAGGAAAUGAUUUGCUCAGGAUGAGGAAUGAAGAUGGCCAUCUUGUGCUCAAACAAACAGAAGUCCUCUGAUGAUCUCAUCAGCCAAAUGAGGGGUUUUGACCAAGUGAUGCUCUUGAAAGGAGUGAAAGAAGAGGAUGUGCUAAAUUCUCUUCAGAGAAAAAGCUUCUCAAAAGGUCUCAAAACAGCUUGAAGAAUGGUCUGGGAUCUUAGGACUGAGAGAUCCUCUGGCUGAGGACAAGCUACACCACAUCAGUGCUGGAUAUCAGCCACAAACUGUUUCCAGACACGAGAGAAGAAGAACACGAUGGGGAGAUGAAACCAGUUUAGAUGUGAUGAUGGGAAUCAUUAUUUUCUGGAACAGUAUCUCAUGUCUUAUAUGUAUCACAUGAUCUGUAUCACAGUUGACUGGAUGGGACUGUGUGACUUUUAAGGACAUUUCAUCACUCAUCUGUGUGAACUGAUUUAUAUAUGAGGUUAAUGUAUCUUUGAUGAUAAUUAUUUUCAUUGAAUCUUAUUUGUCUUGAUGCUACUUUAUCAACUUUAUAGUCUAUGCUUCAAUAAAAUGAAAAUGGUGAA